rnacentral:snRNA from 1 species
GUUUGGAAGCUUGCCUAAGGCAU